GGUUCCUAGAGAAGCAGUUGUACUCUCGGAACCUCCCAACAUGACCCAGUGGUUGGGGCUUUCAAGGCCUCAUCCCCAACACUACUGUGUGGGUACCUUAAAGUCCUUGCCUUCUCUUCCAGUCCAGUCCUCUGAAGUCGGUAGGCCUGGCAGCAAC
rnacentral:lncRNA from 1 species